GUGGGGAAUAUUGGACAAUGGGGGGAACCCUGAUCCAGCCAUGCCGCGUGUGUGAAGAAGGCCUUUUGGUUGUAAAGCACUUUAAGCGAGGAGGAGGCUACCGAGAUUAAUACUCUUGGAUAGUGGACGUUACUCGCAGAAUAAGCACCGGCUAACUCUGUGCCAGCAGCCGCGGUAAUACAGAGGGUGCAAGCGUUAAUCGGAUUUACUGGGCGUAAAGCGCGCGUAGGUGGCCAAUUAAGUCAAAUGUGAAAUGACCGAGCUUAACUUGGGAAUUGCAUUCGAUACUGGUUGGCUAGAGUAGGGGAGAGGAUGGUAGAAUUCCAGGUGUAGCGGUGAAAUGCGUAGAGAUCUGGAGGAAUACCGAUGGCGAAGGCAGCCAUCUGGCCUAAUACUGACACUGAGGUGCGAAAGCAUGGGGAGCAAACAGGAUUAGAAACCCUAGUAGUCC
rnacentral:rRNA from 1 species